UAAUACGGAGGGUGCAAGCGUUAUCCGGAUUUAUUGGGUUUAAAGGGUCCGUAGGCGGACUUAUAAGUCAGUGGUGAAAGCCUGUCGCUUAACGAUAGAACUGCCAUUGAUACUGUAAGUCUUGAGUAUAUUUGAGGUAGCUGGAAUAAGUAGUGUAGCGGUGAAAUGCAUAGAUAUUACUUAGAACACCAAUUGCGAAGGCAGGUUACCAAGAUAUAACUGACGCUGAGGGACGAAAGCGUGGGGAGCGAACAGGAUUAGAUACCCUGGUAGUCCACGCCGUAAACGAUGCUAACUCGUUUUUGGGCUUUAGGGUUCAGAGACCAAGCGAAAGUGAUAAGUUAGCCACCUGGGGAGUACGCUCGCAAGAGUGAAACUCAAAGGAAUUGACGG
rnacentral:rRNA from 1 species